rnacentral:rRNA from 1 species
UACAGAGGGUGCAAACGUUGUUCGGAAUUACUGGGCGUAAAGCGCGUGUAGGCGGCUACGCAAGUCGGAUGUGAAAGCCCACGGCUCAACCGUGGAAGUGCACCCGAAACUAUGUAGCUAGAGUCCUGGAGAGGAAGGCGGAAUGCUUGGUGUAGAGGUGAAAUUCGUAGAUAUCAAGCGGAACACCGGUGGCGAAGGCGGCCUUCUGGACAGUGACUGACGCUGAGACGCGAAAGCGUGGGGAGCAAACAGG